AUUGAACGCUGGCGGCAGGCUUAACACAUGCAAGUCGAGCGGGGAAUGGUAGCUUGCUACCUGACCUAGCGGCGGACGGGUGAGUAAUGCUUAGGAAUCUGCCUAUUAGUGGGGGACAACAUUCCGAAAGGAAUGCUAAUACCGCAUACGCCCUACGGGGGAAAGCAGGGGAUCUUCGGACCUUGCGCUAAUAGAUGAGCCUAAGUCAGAUUAGCUAGUUGGUGGGGUAAAGGCCUACCAAGGCGACGACCUGUAGCGGGUCUGAGAGGAUGAUCCGCCACACUGGGACUGAGACACGGCCCAGACUCCUACGGGAGGCAGCAGUGGGGAAUAUUGGACAAUGGGCGCAAGCCUGAUCCAGCCAUGCCGCGUGUGUGAAGAAGGCCUUUUGGUUGUAAAGCACUUUAAGCGAGGAGGAGGCUACUUGGAUUAAUACUCUAGGAUAGUGGACGUUACUCGCAGAAUAAGCACCGGCUAACUCUGUGCCAGCAGCCGCGGUAA
rnacentral:rRNA from 1 species